rnacentral:misc_RNA from 1 species
GAUGAAGAACGUAGCGAAAUGCGAUAAGUAAUGUGAAUUGCAGAAUUCAGUGAAUCAUCGAAUCUUUGAACGCACAUUGCGCCCGCCAGUAUUCUGGCGGGCAGGCCUGUUCGAGCGUCAUUACAACCCUCAGGCCCCCGGGCCUGGCGUUGGGGAUCGGCGGAAGCCCCCUGCGGGCACAACGCCGUCCCCCAAAUACAGUGGCGGUCCCGCCGCAGCUUCCAUUGCGUAGUAGCUAACACCUCGCAACUGGAGAGCGGCGCGGCCACGCCGUAAAACACCCAACUUCUGAAUGUUGACCUCGAAUCAGGUAGGAAUACCCGCUGAACUUAAGCAUAUCAAUAAGCGGAGGA